AUUGAACGCUGGCGGCAUGCCUUACACAUGCAAGUCGAACGGCAGCAUGGGUGCUUGCACCUGAUGGCGAGUGGCGAACGGGUGAGUAAAGCAUCGGAACGUACCCGGAAGUGGGGGAUAACGUAGCGAAAGUUACGCUAAUACCGCAUAUUCUGUGAGCAGGAAAGCAGGGGCUCGUAAGACCUUGCGCUUUCGGAGCGGCCGAUGUCGGAUUAGCUAGUUGGUGAGGUAAAGGCUCACCAAGGCGACGAUCCGUAGCGGGUCUGAGAGGAUGAUCCGCCACACUGGGACUGAGACACGGCCCAGACUCCUACGGAGGCAGCAGUGGGGAAUUUUGGACAAUGGGCGGAAGCCUGAUCCAGCCAUGCCGCGUGAGUGAAGAAGGCCUUCGGGUUGUAAAGCUCUUUUGUCAGGGAAGAAAUAGUCUGGGUUAAUACCCUGGGCGGAUGACGGUACCUGAAGAAUAAGCACCGGCUAACUACGUGCCAGCCGCCGCCGUAA
rnacentral:rRNA from 1 species